AUUGAACGCUGGCGGCAUGCCUUACACAUGCAAGUCGAACGGCAGCACGGGAGCAAUCCUGGUGGCGAGUGGCGAACGGGUGAGUAAGGUAUCGGAACGUGCCCAGUCGUGGGGGAUAACGUAGCGAAAGCUACGCUAAUACCGCAUACGAUCUAUGGAUGAAAGCGGGGGAUCGCAAGACCUCGCGCGAUUGGAGCGGCCGAUAUCAGAUUAGGUAGUUGGUGGGGUAAAGGCCCACCAAGCCGACGAUCUGUAGCUGGUCUGAGAGGACGACGAGGCACACUGGGACUGAGACACCGCCCAGACUCCGACGGGAGGCAGCAGUGGGGAAUUUUGGACAAUGGGCGCAAGCCUGAUCCAGCAAUGCCGCGUGCAGGAUGAAGGCCUUCGGGUUGUAAACUGCUUUUGUACGGAGCGAAAAGGCUCUCUCUAAUACAGGGGGCUCAUGACGGUACCGUAAGAAUAAGCACCGGCUAACUACGUGCCAGCAGCCGCGGUAAUAC
rnacentral:rRNA from 1 species